GUGCCAGCAGCCGCGGUAAAACGUAGGGGGCAAGCGUUGUCCGGAAUUAUUGGGCGUAAAGGGCGCGCAGGCGGUGGCGAAAGUCCGAUGUGAAAGCCCCCGGCUCAACCGGGGAGGGACAUUGGAAACUGCGUCACUUGAGGGCAGGAGAGGAGAGUGGAAUUCCACAUGUAGCGGUGAAAUGCGUAGAGAUGUGGAGGAACACCAGUGGCGAAGGCGACUCUCUGGCCUGCAACUGACGCUGAGGCGCGAAAGCGUGGGGAGCGAACAGGAUUAGAUACCCUGGUAGUCCACGCCGUAAACGAUGAGUGCUAGGUGUUGGCGGUUUCAAAACCAUCAGUGCCGAAGGCAACCCAAUAAGCACUCCGCCUGGGGACUACGGCCGCAAGGCUGAAACUCAAAGGAAUUGACGGGGGCCCGCACAAGCAGUGGAGCAUGUGGUUUUAAUUCGAAGCAACGCGAAGAACCUUACCAGGGCUUGACAUCGCGAUGACCCCUCUAGAGAUAGAGGCACUCUACGGAGCAACGCAGACAGGUGGUGCAUGGUUGUCGUCAGCUCGUGUCGUGAGAUGUUGGGUUAAGUCCCGCAACGAGCGCAACCCUUAAACUUAGUUGCCAGCACUAAGUUGGGCACUCUAAGUUGACUGCCGGUGACAAACCGGAGGAAGGUGGGGAUGACGUCAAAUCAUCAUGCCCCUGAUGUCCUGGGCUACACACGUGCUACAAUGGGCGCCACAAAGGGUCGCCAAGCCGCAAGGCGGAGCCAAUCCCAAAAAGGCGUUCACAGUUCGGAUUGCAGGCUGCAACUCGCCUGCAUGAAGCCGGAAUUGCUAGUAAUCGCGGAUCAGCAUGCCGCGGUGAAUACGUUCCCGGGCCUUGUACACACCGCCCGUCACACCACGAGAGUUUGUAACACCCGAAGUCGGUGGAUCAACCGCAAGGAGAUAGCCGCCGAAGGUGGGACAGAUGAUUGGGGUGAAGUCGUAACAAGGUAACC
rnacentral:rRNA from 1 species